rnacentral:rRNA from 1 species
CGCUGGCGGCGUGCUUAACACAUGCAAGUCGAACGAUGAAGCCCUUCGGGGUGGAUUAGUGGCGAACGGGUGAGUAACACGUGGGCAAUCUGCCCUUCACUCUGGGACAAGCCCCGGAAACGGGGUCUAAUACCGGAUAAUACUCCUGCCUGCAUGGGCGGGGGUUGAAAGCUCCGGCGGUGAAGGAUGAGCCCGCGGCCUAUCAGCUUGUUGGUGGGGUAAUGGCCCACCAAGGCGACGACGGGUAGCCGGCCUGAGAGGGCGACCGGCCACACUGGGACUGAGACACGGCCCAGACUCCUACGGGAGGCAGCAGUGGGGAAUAUUGCACAAUGGGCGAAAGCCUGAUGCAGCGACGCCGCGUGAGAGAUGACGGCCUUCGGGUUGUAAACCUCUUUCAGCAGGGAAGAAGCGAAAGUGACGGUACCUGCAGAAGAAGCGCCGGCU